UGAAACCGUUCGGGGGUAAACGGACAGAGCCCGUGAAUCUGGACGGCGGAAUUCAGGAUAGGAGGAGGAGGAGGAGGAGAAGCAGCGGUUCGCUGCUGCUGCUGCUGCUGCCGCCGCCGCCUGUCUGAUAUUUCCGUCGUCGCGCGGACGUCGCGACCUGUUCGACGUCGGUCCACGCUCCGGAGGAGCCGUCACCGAGUUCGUCCGCGUCCGCGCGUUUCGGCGCGCGUGCACGGCGAAGGUGCGCGGAUCGUUUUCCGGCCGACUCGUCGGACAGUACGCUUGUAGAACGGUGUCCGGCGCCGCCGCCGCCGCUGUCGUGCGUGCGUGCGUGCGUGUGUCCGGUACCGGUCGGCGACGAUUUCGUCGGGCCU
rnacentral:rRNA from 1 species